AUUGAACGCUGGCGGCAUGCCUUACACAUGCAAGUCGAACGGCAGCGGACCUUCGGUGCCGGCGAGUGGCGAACGGGUGAGUAAUAUAUCGGAACGUACCUUUCAGUGGGGAGUAACGUAGCGAAAGUUAACGCUAAUACCGCAUAUUCUGUGAGCAGGAAAGACAGGGGAGUCGCAAGACCUUGCGCUGAUUGAGCGGCCGAUAUCAGAUUAGCUAGUUGGUGAGGUAAAGGGACUCACCAAGGCGACGAUCUGUAGCGGGUCGUGAGAGGAUGAUCCGCCACACUGGAACUGAGACACGGUCCAGACUCCUACGGGAGGCAGCAGUGGGGAAGUUUUA
rnacentral:rRNA from 1 species